AUUGAACGCUGGCGGCAUGCCUUACACAUGCAAGUCGAACGGCAGCAUGAUCUAGCUUGCUAGAUUGAUGGCGAGUGGCGAACGGGUGAGUAAUACAUCGGAACGUGCCCUGUAGUGGGGGAUAACUAGUCGAAAGAUUAGCUAAUACCGCAAACGACCUGAGGGUGAAAGUGGGGGACCGCAAGGCCUCAUGCUAUAGGAGCGGCCGAUGUCGGAUUAGCUAGUUGGUGAGGUAAAGGCCCACCAAGGCGACGAUCAGUAGCUGGUCUGAGAGGACGAUCAGCCACACUGGGACUGAGACACGGCCCAGACUCCUACGGGAGGCAGCAGUGGGGAAUUUUGGACAAUGGGGGCAACCCUGAUCCAGCAAUGCCGCGUGUGUGAAGAAGGCCUUCGGGUUGUAAAGCACUUUUGUCCGGAAAGAAAUCGCACUUACUAAUAUUAGGUGUGGAUGACGGUACCGGAAGAAUAAGGACCGGCUAACUACGUGCCAGCCGCCGCGGUAACAC
rnacentral:rRNA from 1 species